rnacentral:lncRNA from 1 species
UUUUUUUUUUUUUUUUUUUUUAAAGAAAGGAGACAGAGAGACAGAGGCCUCUCUGUGGUUUGUGUUUCAGUGAGCAGUGUGGGAGUAGUGGCCAGGCUACUGCAUCAGAUUGCCAUGGGAGGAGGCGUAGGGCUAACUCUUUUCACAAAAUUUGCCAGUUUUCCCUAUAACUUUAUCAGUCACCAUCUGAUAAUCUUAUCUGUUUUCAUGCUUCACUUUGUACAAGUCAAACAAUUUUUACUUACUCAAAAUCCAAACCAACAGAACCAAACAAAUAGUUAAAUGGGGGCCCUAAAAUUUUUUGGUUCAGCUAAUAUCAAUUAACCAUGUAAAGAGAUAAUUAUUAGGUUUAAAAUAAAAUCCAGGAAAUCUAAGCAUAGGAGAUUUUUCAAUAUAAAUUUCUCCUGGAUGUCAUUUAAAGCUUUAAUUGUUUCCAUAGGGUCUAACAAGUAAAAAUCUCAUUACCAAUCUUAGCAAGUACAAUUUUAUUGGAAUAAGAAUGAAGACCAUAUUUCAGUGAUUUAUAGAAUGAAAGGGAAGGCAAUUAAAUACAGACAAUGAGUUUAGGAUUUUUUUAAGUAAAUAAAAUGACUGCUAAUUGGGCUUACUUAAAAGUAAUUAUAAGCAAAUAUAAGAUUAUUUAAAAAAAAAUACUAACCAUGAAGAUGUAAUGAAAACCCUAACGGGGAUCAAGUACAUUGGACUAAACCUUUGUUAAUUGAAAACAGCUUUCUUGGAUGUAUCACAAGCAAAAACAAGAUGAAAGACACUUAAAUAAAACUCUGAAGAAUAAUUUGAAACCCUGCUGAGGAAUUUCAUAUUCAAAUUAUAAGGGCUCAUGCUUAUGAAGUAUAAAUAUUUGGUUACUGAGUCAGAGGCUGAGCUUGAGUGUCAUGCUCCUUUAUGAAUGCCAAAUUUAAACAAAUCAAAGUAACACAUGACCAACAAAACCCUCCAGAAGGUUAGUAAUGCUUUCAUCUCUUCAGUAAGUCAUUAUAAUCAUGUCAUAGGUAAUUUUCAGUUCAAUACAGGUAAUAUGUAAAGCCAACAGAUAAAAUCUCAGUUACUUAAUUACACUUUAUCAUAUUUGCCUUUUGAUUGCUUUCUCCUCUGAUUAUGUUACUAUUUAUUUGGGUAAUCUGUAAUCAAGUCACCAGUGGAAUUAACAUUAAGAACAAACUAAGUAUGACAGACAAUCACUUACCAUGGUUUUGUUAGAUGUUAGCUCCACCUUUACCAGUUCAGUGCUGGUGGUAAUUCAACAUUUUAUCUACAUUGUUUUGAAAAGAAAACUUUAGUCUUGAUAUUUCCAGUGAUGAUGUGAUAUUAGUUAUGGGGUGUGUGUGUGUGUGUGUGUGUGUGUGCGUGUGCGUGUGUGUGUGUGUGUGUGUGUGUGUGUUGGUGGUGUGUGUGGGGUGCCCAAGGAAGAAAUUGCUUGGUAUUGAUAUUUAGUGCACAUUUGCAAACUCAUAUGAACUGAAUACAUUUGCAGAGUACUGUCAUUUAAAUUUAUGCUGGAAAGGGAAUUUCAUUUAUUUUUCUUGGUCACAUAUUCAUCUAUAAAAAAUUAUUGUGAAGAAAAAAUGUUAUAGCUGUGUGUGAUAACAAAUAUAGUCACAUUUCAAGGAAUGUUAUUUUCACUUAUUAGUCUGGUAAACAGAUUCCAACCAUUCCUUCAUUGAGUACUGAAUUUCUAAUUCAUUCUUCAGGCUUUUAAGUUAAUGUAAAUUAGUGCACUAAGAAGUUAGGUUUAAUCUGGGUUGUAUAGGUGAGAAAUUCAAAUAAUUCAGGAUAGAUGUUAGCAGAUAUUUUUGAGCUCAUAAUCAAAUGAAAAUUUUAAAAAAUAGAAGUAAAUAUCCAUCAUUGAUUUUUUUAUUUCUUUUAAAUCAUUUCAUGAGGAUAAAUUUUCAGGUGGAUUCUGGGGUCCAAGCACUUAAUCAUUUAAAUUCUCUGUGUAUAUCUUGCUAAAAUGCUUUUCAAAAGACUUGUACCAAAUUUGCUUCCACCUAAACAUUUAUUUAUACUCCUACUCAUGAAAAACAGGAUUUUUUUUUUUUUUUUUGCUUUUUAGGGCCCCACCUGUGGCAUAUGGAAGUUCUCAGGCUAGGGGACGAACUGGAGCUGCAGCAGCUGGCCUACACUACAGCCACAGUGAUGUGGAAUCUGAGCCUCAUCUGCAACCUACACCACAGCUCACAGCAACACUGGAUCCUUAACCCACUGAGCAAGGCCAGGGAUGGAACCCGCAUCCUCAUGGAUUCUAUUCAGGUUCAUAACCUGCUGAUCCACAACAGGAAUUCCCAAACACAGAAUUUUUUUUUAAUGAAAACUGAUAUGCAUAGUGUUGAUUAAGCUUUAAAUUAGAGGCUAAAAUAUAAUUUUAGUAAUUCAAAAUAGUUUUGCUAAAUGUAGUCUUUAUAUUCAUAUAAUAUUUUUUUUCUGUUUCGGCCAUAGCUACAACAAAUGGAAGUUUCCACCCAGGGGUCAAAUCUGAGCCACAGCUGUGACCUACAAUACAGCUGCAGCAUUGUUGACUCCUUAACCCACUGCACAGGGCCAGGGAUCAAACCCGUGCCUCAGCAGUGAUCUGAGCUGCCGCAUAGACAAUGCUAGGUCCUUAACCCACUGUGCCACAGUGGGAACUUCUUUUUAAUUUUUUAAUAGUAAGUUUAAUUAAAGACUCUUUCUUACAAACAUACAAAUAUAUUUACAAACAUUAUUUUGGUAUGCAUAAUGUUAGUAUAAGGCAAUGAUAAGAUUAUAAAUAGUUUGAAAAAGAAAGUCCUGGAGUUCCCACUGGCUCAGUGGAAACGAAUCUGACUAGUAUCCAUGAGGAUCCAGAUUCAAUCCCUGGCCUUGCUCAGUGGGUUAAGGAGCUGGCAUUGCCAUGGGCUGUGGUGUAGGUCACAGACGCAGCUUGGAUCUGGCAUUGCUGUGGCUGUUGCAUUGGCCAGCAGCUAUAGCUCCAAUUCGACCCCUAGCCUAGGAACCUCCAUAUGCUGCAGGUGGAACCCUAAAAAAGAC